rnacentral:lncRNA from 1 species
GGCAACUGUCAGCAGGCGAUGGCUUGCGCUGUAUUCUGAACUGUUUGGGUCUCUGCCAGCCCUGUCCCCAGCCAAUGCCCUCUUGGCCAUUGUGUCAAUUAUGGCUGAUGGUUAUCUUGCUUGUUUAUCCAGUCGCUGUAUAGACUGACUUUCUGAAUGUCAGGGUCUGACUGUUUCCAUAACAGGAAGCCACUGGCUAUACUACUGCAUGAAGAAACUCCAGCCUACACAAUAGAAUCCCAACAAAACCUUAAACCCUCAUUGAAUCCAGCUCUUAUUGUUUCAUUGAUAGGCCGAAUCCUGUAUUUACAGUCCUGGAUUUACAGUUUACAGGCCUGUGUGUGUGUGUGUGCGCACGCGCGCACACACACGUGUAGGUUUGACAAGGCCAACCCUGGCUUUUCACCUUCCUCAGUGAACCUCAGCUUAGACUCGGCCGCCAGCAUUCCCCGGACAUAGGGGAGGGGUGCAGGCCAGCAGAACCCAGGCCCUGAAGAGCUUCCUCCUGGUCCUCCACGGCUGGCCCUGCAGUCAGAGGAAGCUGAGCUUCUGUUUAUCCUGGGCCUCAGUCACAGUAGAACAAAUGCUUCGGUCAGCAUGGAACCCAGGCGCCACAAGCUCUGCUGAGGAAAGACAUCAAAGGGAGCCCUGGGCUCCAUCUGUCACUCAUGUCUGUUAUCUUCCCGGGGCCGGGGGGGUGUCCCAUGGCUGGGGAGUUUUCAAGAAGCUCUCUGGGAACCUGUUAAAUAGCCUCCAUUCCUUUUCAACUUUAUCUGCUUCUCCCCUCCCAAACUUGGAGAAGAAAAUCAACCCACACGGUGCUAAAGGAGUCUGACCUCCAUGGAAAGCUGUCUAUUCCCGAACAGACUUGGAGCAGCAAAUGAGGGAGGCAACUGGUCUACCCUAAGAGUCUGGCAGAAGCCUGGGAGAGAAGGAAGCAGGGUAGCUGAUCUCAGAGGGAGCCGGAAGAUAAUUUGGACAUCACUUUGCAGGACAAGCAGAGAAGGACCCUGAAUGCACAGACUCCGGAUGGUCCCUGGCCUCACCUCACAGAGACCUGGGGACCUUGUGUGGGCCCCGGGCUGCAUCUCCAGCCCCACCCCAUGCUUGGAGACCAGGCUUCCCUGAGGACAGCAGGAUGUGUUCUGGCUACACCAGCACCCGCCGGCCGGCCUCUGGGAAAGGCCUGGCAGGGCCGAUUGUGCGGCAGGACACCUGGCCGGUCUGCAGCCUCGGUGACGGCCUCAGCGAAGGCCAUGCUUUCCUGUGCAGCCGCUGCAGCGUGUAGGAUGCUGAUAAGGGAACAAUGCAGCAGAGGAAAAGUGGCAGCCUUGGGACAAUGAGCGGCGGCGGGGACUCUCCCGGGCCGCACAGUCCGAGGAAGGAUUUGCAGGUCCCAGGGGCCGGGCAGGAGACUGCUCUGCGGCCAACAGUUGGGGGCACCCAGGGCUCUCCCAGGAGCCAUGCCCCUCCUCUGGCGCCUGCUCAUUCCCUCUAGGGGCCCUUCCUCCAAGGAGGGGAGACUUACAGACAGUGAGCCACUGACCCACGAAGGGGCCCUGCAGCUUCCUGGGGUCGGGGAUGGCCUGCAAGGCAAGGGCUCCCAGGAGCGCCCUGUGCCAGUGCCCUCCAGCUCCCUCCUACCCUUGACCUUAACCCUUUCGGGCACCAGAGACACUAGAUGGAUACCCGGGGCCUCGGCCAAGCAUGAGGCCAACUUGUGGCAAUGGCUAAAUCCCCUGCAGGUGCCCAGGGAGGGUCGCCAAGAGAAGCUGCCUCUGCCUCAGGCAGGACAGGCAGCUGAUGACAGGGGUGCUGUGGUCACUACAGCUCGUGGAUAAGUGUGCACAUGCAGUCCAUCCUCUGGCCAGAACUGGGGACUGCAGGAGGAUGGCACGGGGCAGGUGGAGACCAGGGAAGGGAUAUUGUCCCUGUGCCCUCUCCAGGUCACUAGAAAGGGCUUGCUUGUGCACAGCCCAGCCCCACCUUCCACCCAACAGGCGUUAGAGUCACCUAGGAGGUGCAAACAAUAUAACACGAGAACCCAAGAAGACCAGGGGGCUAAAAUGGAGCCGGAAGUGAGGGGCAGGUCACAGAAGUGAGCGCUGUGGCUAUGAAGCCCAGGGCCAACCAGACACCCAUGACAUGACAGAGUCUUCAUGAAAGAAAACACCCCUGUUACACAAAACACCGCCCGACCGGAGGAGAAAAAACAUCAAAGUGUUAUUUCUGAUUCUCAAUGCACGGAGUAGUUCUUGCCCAGUGUCUUCCUGGAGAGAAGUUGGCAAAAGGCGAUGGCUGGCUUUUCCAGGUAGCCUCACUGUGACAGGCAGGAAGACAGGGCGUUGCAGAGCUGGCUGGAGGAACACAUGGGACCUGCUAAUGACGAGAUCCCAGGACAGUGUCAGAUGAUUCCCAUGGCCCGUAUCUAGACCUCUCCAGGGUUCCCAAGACGCGGACAGCAUAGAAGGACACAGGUGCACGAAGAACCCACUACUGUGUCCUUUUCCGGGAGCCCACCCUGUGUCUCCCAGACCCAGAGAGUACUUUGAUUUUUGCUUUUUAUCUUUUCCUCUCUUUUUUUCCUCUCCCCUUCACCCUUCACUUUUCAAAUAAACUUUGGCAUUG